ACACUGAAGGUGGAGUUAAGACACUAAAACUGGAAUGAUGCUGAGAUUAGCAUGGGCCCUGUGUGAGGAUGACACAAAAGUUGUGAAGUCUUACUUUUUUUU